rnacentral:pre_miRNA from 1 species
UUUUCAGCAUAUGUAUGUCUCAUGGAAUAUUUGGGAUAUAUUUAUACUAAAA